UGGGUUGUGGCUCAGUGGUACAGCACUUGUCUAGCACACGGGAGGCCCUGGGUUUGAUCCUCAGCACCACAU
rnacentral:tRNA from 1 species